UACGUAGGGGGCUAGCGUUGUCCGGAAUCAUUGGGCGUAAAGCGCGCGUAGGCGGCCCGGUAGGUCCGUUGUGAAAACUCGAGGCUCAACCUCGAGACGCCGAUGGAAACCAUCUGACUAGAGUCCGGAAGAGGAGAGUGGAAUUCCUGGUGUAGCGGUGAAAUGCGCAGAUAUCAGGAAGAACACCCGUGGCUAAGGCGGCUCUCUAGUACGGUACUGACGCUGAGACGCGAAAGCGUGGGGAGCGAACAGG
rnacentral:rRNA from 1 species